GCCAGCUGGUUGUAGAAUUCAUCAGACUGACCUUGGAACACUGGAGACACUAGGUUUGCUAAGCCUUGCUUCGGCUGCUGCAAUCAAUUGCAUCAGCUAGCAACUGAAUCUGCCUGCCUUCAAUCCAUCUCAUCGAUGAGCAACUGAAUCUGCCUGCCUCUAAUUGGGACUCAGAAGAAUAUCAUCUUGAUCAAGCAACCCCAAAAGAAAAAUGUGAACUGGACAUUUCAUAUCAAUAGCUAAACACUGGCCUUUGUACUGAGGUAGAGAUCUAACUCCUUAGAACGCAGCGAUUUUUAUGU